UUGGUUCUUGCUGGGGAUUUUUAUUUUGAUUCUUCUUUCGUUCUUUUUGUUUUCCCUAAUUUUUCCUAGACUUAUUUUUUGAGAUUGCAGUUCAUCGGGAUGUCCUAAUUUUUACCUAAGUCACUCGUUUUCGAGUUUUCAACUUAGCAGGAUUUUUUUUUGCAUUUCUCAUUUUGCUGGAACAAAUCGUGUGACAUUUGUUUGUUUAUUUGUGAGGAACAACCAUUAUGGAUUUGUGAUUUUUG
rnacentral:lncRNA from 1 species